rnacentral:misc_RNA from 1 species
UGCCACACUCUCCUGUGUAAGUGCAUCUGUUUUUUUUUCCCGAGUCGCAUGUAGGCUAUUAGACGGACACGAGAGUAGCUGCACACCUGCACGGCGCCGUAGCCUCCCUCACCAUCCUUCCUCGUUUUCGCCAUCUUGCACUUCCAUUAUCGAUUUCCACGCAAGUGCGCACGAAAAGACCCCCGCACAUGGAUGCCAUGGCGCACAUACCACUUCCACCCCACCCCCUCCAUAUUUGUUUGCGUUGCCUGCCACGAACCGGUACGCACACCAACACAAGUGCACGCAGGCACAAACACGUAACACCGAGAAGCACGAGCUGAGUUAUUUUUCUUUCUAUACUAAUGAACUUGUAAGAAAGAAGAGAAUGCCAUCAUUGGACAGUAUUGCGUAGCAGAGGAUUGCGGUACCGCCCGCCAUCUCCCCCUCUGUUUAAUCCCUUCGUCUUCGACGCUGCACUUCACACGCACGCGCACAACCCUCCACAUGAGUAAACGCAGUCGAAACGCGUCAGUGUGGCCACGCGAUGCCUACUAGCGCUCACAUGUGAGAGUUAUGGCAUUCAUGUCGACUUUGUUCGCCACCUCUAUCCGCGUCCGUGGAUGCUUCCCCGUGGGGCACUCGCUAAGUUUCCCAAAGAGCGGUGAAUAAUGAAGGGGGCGGCGUGGAGGGAGGAGUAGCACGGGUGGCGGACAUCAGUUGCGCCAUGCGCAGAUCAGGGGGAAAAGGCGAACUUUUCGUUCGUGCCCGCACCCUUCCUCUGGCUCCUCAUUGCAUCUCUAUCCCGCUUCUCGUUAUUAUUCCACUUGCCGCCCCCUCCUCUUACACUUUCCUCUAACAUGAAAAACACACACACACACACACACACACUGACACUUAUACACAUUUGCUGGCUUGUCGCUCUUUUUUUAUUGUUUUUCUCGCUCUACACGUGCGCCAAUAUCUGGCUUUCCCUUGCCCUUGCCCCUCGCCCCUUCCCCACAUAAUCGCUUGUCGCGUUGACACGGGUCUGUGAGUGAGUGCACGUCUGUGCCUACCUGUCCGCCUGUACGCGUUUGGAUGCUGUCGCUAG